UACGAAGGGAGCUAGCGUUGUUCGGAAUCACUGGGCGUAAAGCGCACGUAGGCGGAUUUGUCAGUCAGGGGUGAAAUCCCGGGGCUCAACCUCGGAACUGCCUUUGAUACAGCAAGUCUUGAGUUCGAGAGAGGUGGGUGGAAUUCCUAGUGUAGAGGUGAAAUUCGUAGAUAUUAGGAAGACCACCGGUGGCGAAGGCGGCCCACUGGCUCGAUACUGACGCUGAGGUGCGAAAGCGUGGGGAGCAAACAGG
rnacentral:rRNA from 1 species